GGAGGCGGCGACGCCCCCCCGACUUGAGGCUGGUGAAAGCCAGCCUGCUGCCUCCGCACCCUAUCCUUGAAGGCCUUUCGGCGGACCCGUUCGGAUCCGCC
rnacentral:sRNA from 1 species